GGGGAAUGAGAAUUCCCGUUGUGAAAGGUUGCAGAGUGCAUGAUGCACAUGGGAUAGGAGGGAGAAAAAUCUCCUGCUAUAAAGAAAAAGCUGUGGAUUAAGGACUGCAUUAAUGCUUUAGUUAAUAAAUCAGGGCUGUAACAAGCAACAAGUCUUCAUACAGUGACAAAACAUUGUGCAGGUAUACAGCAGGAAAAUGAAGUAAGCAUUUUAAGCCUCAAUAAAUUAUAACAAGCAAAUUAGGCAUACAGUGUAAGAGAAUGUUUUUUUACCUUGCAAAUUCAAAUGGUGAAGCUGUGCACACCACUGGUUAUGAUGGAUAACUUGCUAAACUACCGUAACUUGAGUGCAUCAGGGCACAACCUAGAGAGACCUUAACAAUACUGCUUAGGUGGAGUAUUUUUCUCUCAGAAGGUGCUAGUCAUGAAAAAUGAAGACAUGAUGAUUUCAAUAAACUUUAUAUUCACAGUGCGGAAAACGAAUAUGUGAACAGAAACCUGUUUGUUCUCUCCAGUAUUUGUCAUUUCACCAUCUAUUUUGUUAAAUUCGCAUUGUACGUAUCACUUGGAAUAAUGAUUGUGUUAAUUUUAUAUUUGAGAAUUUUUGUUUGUAGCAUAACACAGCUAAAAAUAAAGCAAGGGCACAUAACCUAAAGGCAUCAAAAUAGAGUCUUGACAACUGAAUUUUUUUUCCUUUGGCAUUGAAGGAAAUUUCAUACUUUUAAUUUUAUACUGCCUUUCAGUGACUUUUAAUGACAGAAUUUUCAAUUCAGCUUCAACCAGCUGUAGAGUGACAGAGUGAACAUUCUUCUUUAAAGACCUGAGUCCAAAUGGUUGUUUAAAGUACUGAGAGAAAAGGAGCCCAAGAGCUUCCAAGAGGUGGAGUCCCUGACGUGAUUUCAUGCAGUCCUCAAGGUGCUUGCCAGGUACAACCCUGCUCAGUCCAUAGAAGAAGAUGAGCUCAUUUUACAAUGCCUGAUUGGAUGGAGAGAGCCAGACACCUGGGAUGUCAGUGAGCAGAAAUUGUUAGGUAGAGGUGUCUACUAUGAGUCCAAGCUGCAAACUCCAGAAAGCACUUUGGGGACAUCAGAUCAUGCUGAGAGCCUUCUAGUGUACAGUUUCUUCUAAAAAAAGAAGUAACAGAAGAAUUAGAAACAAGAGGAGACUUCCAGUGAAGCAAAGAAAAUGAACAGAAAGAAAAAUCUAGUCUACUGGUCCAAAUAAUACAGGCAGACUAGCACGUACUGGAAUUUGGGACUAAACCCAAAGAGAGCUGACAUGAGGACACACUGCAGGGAGGGACAAGCACAGGGAUGAAUGGUGCCAUUGUGAGACUAUUUUAAUUAAUUUUUGUAAUGAAGCCAAAGCUCUAAUUUACCACAUCCCAAAAGUAAAUAGAAAAGGGUAUGACCUUAAUUUCAGAGGUGGGGAAGGAAAACCUAAUUGUUAAGUAGUCAGCUGUCACUCGUUAUUGCAAUUGGAUAGAUACACUUGGUGUGUUACUAUGAAUAGGCCAGAUUCAACAGCCCAAAUAGUGGGUAAUGACAGUUUUGUUCUCUCUCUUCUUCAUAUUCUUUCCAAGUCUUUGAUUAGUAACAUUUUCUAUCGGUUUUACCAUGUGGAUUGCAAUACUCCAGACUCCACCAGACUCUGAGUAAGCCCGUCUGGGCCACAGAAUAGAUUUCUUUUUUUGUCUUAGCAGGCAGAUGUGUGCAACACUGGCAGGAUGCAAAACAUACAGACACUACAGGAGGUCCCUCUUGCCUUCUUACUUUCUGCUAGCCCCAAGUGAGUAUAUUCCUAUACAGCAGCUAGUGGUGGAAGACAGUUUUUCAAUGUAGAAUGUCUGCAAUCUGAAAAAGUACAAAAGUUGUAUCUGUUUCUAACCACGGUCACUAAAUAAAUACAGUUUGAUGUGCCUUA